rnacentral:rRNA from 1 species
GUCUACGGCCAUGCCACCCCGAACAAGCCCAAUGUCUGAUGUCUGAUCUCAGAAGCUAAGCAGGGUCGGGCCUAGUUAGUACUUGGAUGUGAGACCAGAUGCUGUAGGCA